CCUACGGGAGGCUGCAGUGAGGAAUAUUGGUCAAUGGGCGAAAGCCUGACGCAGCGACGCCGCGUGAGUGAUGAAGGUCUUCGGAUUGUAAACCUCUGUCAGCAGGGAAGAACGGUCACUGUGCUAUUCAGCAGUGAAUUGACGGUACCUGCAAAGGAAGCACCGGCUAACUCCGUGCCAGCAGCCGCGGUAAUACGGAGGGUGCGAGCGUUAAUCGGAAUUACUGGGCGUAAAGCGCUCGUAGGCGGUAUGUCAAGUCAGGGGUGAAAUCCCCGGGCUCAACGUGGGAACUGCCUUUGAAACUGGCAAGCUAGAGUGUGUUAGAGGAGGGUAGAAUUCCAGGUGUAGGAGUGAAAUGCGUAGAGAUCUGGAGGAACAUCAGUGGCGAAGGCGGCCUGCUGGACGAAGACUGACGGUGAGGCGCGAAAGCGUGGGGAGCAAACAGGAUUAGAUACCCGAGUAGUC
rnacentral:rRNA from 1 species